ensembl:rRNA 5S_rRNA 5S ribosomal RNA
GUCUGUGGCCAUACCAACUUGAAUGUGCCCAAUCUUGUCUGAUCUUGGAAGCUAAGCAGAAUCUAGCCUGGUUAGUACUUGGAUGGGAGACUGCCUGGGAAUUUCAGGUGCUGAAGGCU